GGCUGGUCCCAGGCUUUAAUCAGGGCCCUAAGAGGUGUGCUGGCUGUUUAUCAUAAUUGAACUGUAUCCAGGCUAAUCGACGGCAUACGUCACUGUCGAGGGGGUCGCUGGGGCGAGCCGGCGGGGCCGUUGAUCGAACACGCGGUUAAGAGGAAGGAUGUGUACCGAGAGACGAGGCGGGAAGAGGCAGGUACAGCGCUUUAUAGGCAGCAUGUCACAAGUGCCGGGGCGCUCCGAAGAAAGUGGGAAUGGUGUGACGGACGGCGGAGGAAAGCAGAAAGCAGGCGCCAGAUCCAAGGUGCAGCUCUCCCGUGGAAAAUGACUUAAACUACUUGAUUUAUACCAACAUUUCAGUAAAUAAUACACCUGAGGCCUGUGGCUGGAGGGCUGAAGGUUCGUAAAAUGAUGUUUAGAAGUAGAAUUCUGACAUAUUUAAGUGAAAGUGGC
ensembl:lncRNA